rnacentral:rRNA from 1 species
CUGGCUCAGGAUGAACGCUAGCGACAGGCUUAACACAUGCAAGGUCGAGGGGCAGCACGGGAGUAGCAAUACAACUGGUGGCGACCGGCGCACGGGUGAGUAACGCGUAUGCAACCUACCUAUCAGAGGGGAAUAACCCGGCGAAAGUCGGACUAAUACCGCAUAAAACAGGGGCACCGCAUGGUGAUAUUUGUUAAAGAAAUUCGCUGAUAGAUGGGCAUGCGUUCCAUUAGGUAGUUGGUGAGGUAACGGCUCACCAAGCCGACGAUGGAUAGGGGAACUGAGAGGUUGGUCCCCCACACUGGUACUGAGACACGGACCAGACUCCUACGGGAGGCAGCAGUGAGGAAUAUUGGUCAAUGGGCGAGAGCCUGAACCAGCCAAGUCGCGUGAAGGAAGAAGGAUCUAUGGUUCGUAAACUUCUUUUGCAGGGGAAUAAAGUGCGGGACGUGUCCUGUUUUGUAUGUACCCUGAGAAUAAGGAUCGGCUAACUCCGUGCCAGCAGCCGC